rnacentral:rRNA from 1 species
AGUGAACGCUGGCGGUAGGCCUAACACAUGCAAGUCGAACGGCAGCACAGUAAGAGCUUGCUCUUACGGGUGGCGAGUGGCGGACGGGUGAGGAAUACAUCGGAAUCUACUUUUUCGGGGGGGAUAACGUAGGGAAACUUACGCUAGUACAGCAUACGACCUACGGGUGAAAGCAGGGGAUCUUCGGACCUUGCGCGAUUGAAUGAGCCGAUGUCGGAUUAGCUAGUUGGCGGGGUAAAGGCCCACCAAGGCGACGAUCCGUAGCUGGUCUGAGUGGAUGAUCAGCCACACUGGAACUGAGACGCGGUCCAGACUCCUACGGGAGGCAGCAGUGGGGAAUAUUGGACAAUGGUCGCAAGCCUGAUCCAGCCAUACCGCGUGGGUGAAGAAGGCCUUCGGGUUGUAAAGCCCUUUUGUUGGGAAAGAAAAGCAGCAGGUUAAGACCCCGCUGUUCUGACGGUACCCAAAGAAUAAGCACCGGCUAACUUCGUG